rnacentral:rRNA from 1 species
AUUGAAUGCUAGCGGGAUGCUUAACACAUGCAAGUCGAACGAGUGGCGGACGGGUGAGUAAUAUAUGGGAACGUGCCCAGUAGAGGGGGAUAACUACUGGAAACAGUGGCUAAUACCGCACACCAUUGGAGCGGCCGAUAUCGGAUUAGCUAGUUGGUGGGGUAAAGGCUCACCAAGGCAACGAUCCGUAGCUGGUUUGAGAGGAUGACCAGCCACACUGGAACUGAGACACGGCCCAGACUCCUACGGGAGGCAGCAGUGGGGAAUUUUGGACAAUGGGGGAAACCCUGAUCCAGCCAUCCCGCGUGUGUGAGAAGGCCUUCGGGUUGUAAAGUACUUUUAGCAGAGAAGCGGUAUCUGCAGAAUAAGCACCGGCUAACUACGUGCCAGCAGCCGCGGUAAUUC